CAAUAGCGUAUAUUAAAGUUGUUGCAGUUAAAAAGCUCGUAGUUGGAUUUGUGGCGUAUGGUGUGUUCCGGGCACUUGUUGUCUGAGUAACUUGCCAUUGCCAUCCUUGGGUGGAACCUGUGUGGCAUUAGGUUGUCGUGCAGGGGAUGCCCAUCGUUUACUGUGAAAAAAUUAGAGUGUUCAAAGCAGGCUUAUGCCGUUGAAUAUAUUAGCAUGGAAUAAUAAGAUAGGACUUUUUUGCUAUUUUGUUGGUUUGCGCAAGAAGGUAAUGAUUAAUAGGGAUAGUUGGGGGUAUUCGUAUUCCAUUGUCAGAGGUGAAAUUCUUGGAUUUUUGGAAGACGAACUACUGCGAAAGCAUUUACCAAGGAUGUUUNCAUUA
rnacentral:rRNA from 1 species